CUCGUAGUUGGAUUCUGUCGAGGACGACCGGUCCAUACAAUGUAUGUGCAUCUGGCUCGGCUUCGGCAUCCUCUCGAAAAACGUUUCUGUGCUUGAUUGCAUGGAGCGGAGUUCGGGACUUUUACUUUGAGGAAAUUAGAGUGUUCACGGCAGGCUAUCGCCAGAAUACAUUAGCAUGGAAUAAUACUAUAGGAUUUCGGUUCUAUUUUGUUGGUUUCUAGAAUUGAAAUAAUGAUUAAUAGGGACAAUUGGGGGCAUUCGUAUCAUGGCGUCAGAGGUGGAAUUCUUGGAUUGCCGUGCGACGAACUACUGCGAAAGCAUUUGCCAAGGAUGUUUUCAUUGAUCAAGAACGAAAGUAAGGGGAUCGAAGACGAUUAGAUACCGUCGUAGUCUUUACCACAAACUAUGCCGACUCGGGAUGGGACCUCGUUCUUUUAAGACUGGUUCCGCACCGUAUGAGAUAUCAAAGUUUUUGGGUUCCGGGGGGAGUAUGAGCGCAAGCUUGGAACUUAAAGGAAUUGACGGAAGGGCACCACCAGGAGUGGAACCUGCGGCUUAAUUUGACUCAACACGGGAAAACUCACCAGGUCCAGACAUAAUAAGGAUUGACAGAUUGAUAGCUCUUUCUCGAUUUUAUGGGUGGUGGUGCAUGGCCGUUCUUAGUUCGUGGAGUGAUUUGUCUGCUUAAUUGCGUUAACGA
rnacentral:rRNA from 1 species